UAUACAUUUAUUAAUCAGUGCUAAUCCCCGCAUUUUUAGUCUCCGCUACAACAAUGCGCUCUGCAUCGUUCCCGCUUCCAUCUGUUUGAAGAUUAAAGUGUACACGAAAGACGACUCGCCUCAUAACAGUCACUUGUGAUUGGCUGAAUGUUAAUUCACUCAAAUCUAUGUAACUAACCAGAUAACAUGGGCGGGGAUAUUGGCGGAGGUGUGUCGAAAAAGUGCGGAGGACGGAACCAUUUUUAUCUGAAAGUGGGGGUAUUCCCGCACAUGGUGCCACGCCUAUUUAGCGCAGAUGCGUGAUUUAAGUCUUAAAAAUCAAGUGCUUAUGUACAUUUAUAAAAAUAUAUUUUGUAUUGCGGGUUUAUUUGGUGCCCCUAAAGUCUUGCCCAAUUGCCCAUAUGGUUAAUCCGCCUCUGGCUUAGUGGAAAAACUGGCUUCUUCCUCUGAGGAACAUUUGGAAAAUAACACACAUUAUGUCCCACAUUGAGGCUCAACAAAAAGAGGCUAAAAUGUUUACACAGGUUUUUUAAGAAGUGCCAGUAUUAAAAGGUGCUUGAACAUAUCUUGAAUAUGCUUUUCUCUUAUGGACAAUAACAUGCAAAAUGUCACAAUCACAAUGAAUAACAUUUAAUUCAAGUUAGUAAUUUUAAGAUCUUUUUUUAACCCCCAACCUAUUUUAACCAAUUAAGAAAAGGUAUAAUUUAUACUAUUACCAGUGUAGUAUAAAUUCUAACAACAAGAAUAGAACAUUUAACUGUUGUUUCAUUUCAGGUGCUGAAGAGGCCAACCCUGAACAAUUUGAACUAUGUCCUCUGAUCAACCCUGGACAACAAGAACAUCCACAACGUGCUGAGGAUCGAGGACAACAGUGAACAAAACGAACAUUAAGA